CAUGAUUUAUGUAAUAAAUAGAUUAUGUUAGCGACUUCAUCCGCAUCGACUACACAGAUUUCAAACCCCUACUUUACCCCCCUUAGGGGCCGUUGAAUUUUCAAAAAUCCUUUCUUUGGGAUGUCUACGCCAUAAUAGCC